rnacentral:rRNA from 1 species
CGAGCGGCGGACGGGUGAGUAAUGUCUGGGAAACUGCCUGAUGGAGGGGGAUAACUACUGGAAACGGUAGCUAAUACCGCAUAACGUCGCAAGACCAAAGUGGGGGACCUUCGGGCCUCAUGCCAUCAGAUGUGCCCAGAUGGGAUUAGCUAGUAGGUGGGGUAACGGCUCACCUAGGCGACGAUCCCUAGCUGGUCUGAGAGGAUGACCAGCCACACUGGAACUGAGACACGGUCCAGACUCCUACGGGAGGCAGCAGUGGAAAAUAUUGCACAAUGGGCGCAAGCCUGAUGCAGCCAUGCCGCGUGUAUGAAGAAGGCCUUCGGGUUGUAAAGUACUUUCAGCGAGGAGGAAGGCAUUAAGGUUAAUAACCUUGGUGAUUGACGUUACUCGCAGAAGAAGCACCGGCUAACUCCGUGCCAGCAGCCGCGGUAAUACGGAGGGUGCAAGCGGUAAUCGGAAUUACUGGGCGUAAAGCGCACGCAGGCGGUCUGUUAAGUCAGAUGUGAAAUCCCCGGGCUCAACCUGGGAACUGCAUUUGAAACUGGCAGGCUUGAGUCUUGUAGAGGGGGGUAGAAUUCCAGGUGUAGCGGUGAAAUGCGUAGAGAUCUGGAGGAAUACCGGUGGCGAAGGC